CUGACUGUGGAGAUCUGGUAGCCUGCAGCAGCUCUGCUCUAUUUUCAUGUCAUCUGUUGGCUCAGGUGGGCUUAACACCGUGCCUUGGAGGUCAGCACAGGAAGAUUUAGAAGAGGAUUACAGAGAGCAAAAGAGAGAGACAAAAGCUGUGAUUCCCCAGCAGUGUCUCCUGCGUGUAUCAGACCAGCGCUGGGCAGCACUGAGAUGCAGAAAGAAGUGGGGCUGCUCUACUAUCAGCAGUUUUUUCCACUGUCACUCAGCAGAUCACAAGUCACUCAGAAUUGGAUAUCCUCAUCCCCAAGGCUGUCAGACACACCACGUCCUGUCCCUGCUGGCUGCACAGCAACGACGGCGACACGUCUGCAUGGAUGGGGAGAUGGAAACCCAGUGUGUAUCAUCUCCUCUGAGGCUGCUCGAGUUGCUCUUCAGUGCUUCAAGGGGGAAGAAAGACCAGAAAAAUAAUAAGGCUUUGUAUGAGUGGCACACAAGGACAAAGCAACGAGUAAGGAGAAUGGAGGAGAAUUCAGUACACAUUUGAUAUUGAACAGGAAGGGUCUCCAUGGUGGACUUCUGAGCAGCCAUAGAAACAGUAUUUAGGUCUGGAUACAAAGGAAAUAUUAUGCCCCGAUUAAUUUUCUGCAUCGCUGAAAUGGAGCUUCUGUCAAACGGGGAAGGCAGACAUUGCUGAUGCUGAAGAGCCAUCCCAGAACCAAGCCUGCAGCACUGUUUGGGAACAAAAG
rnacentral:lncRNA from 1 species